CGACGCCUGCGCACUGAGCCGACCCGCCCUCGAGGCCCCGCCCCGUCCCAGCCCUCCGGCCGGAGUUCCCGGGACACGCUCGCCCCCUGCGGUCCUAAGCGUGCACUGCACCCCGCGGCCUCCAAAGCAUCCCGGUACCCCGCGCUCUGAGUUUGCCAUCUAAGCGAAAGGAAGCCAAUGGAGAGACUUUGGCUUAAGGAGAAGGCCCCCGGUACUGGUCACGGUCCCGGAGUAAGGGACUUGCAGAGGCUAUACAACCAGCAUGGAGCCCAACACCGGGCUUGAACUCACCACUCUGAGAUCAAGACCUGAGCUGAGAUGAGUCAGAUGAGCCACCCAGGUGUUCCUUCCUCUAACUCUUUCGAGGACCCUUGUGAUUCCAUCCAGCCCAGUUGGUUAAUCCAGGGUAUUUUUUAAGGAACUGAUUAGCAAUCUCAAUCCCAUCUGCAACCUUAAUUCCCCUUUGCCAUGUAAGGUAAUAGUGAUAGGCUCUGGAAAUUAGGGUUUGAACAUCUUUAGGGACUGCUAUUCUGCCUACCAACACCAUAUAUUGAGUACCUGCUGUAUACUCAUCUAAGCCCUGUGCUAGGGGCUGGGGUAUGGCAGAAACCCUGGGCCAGACAUCUUCUGGCAAGAGCUGAGUCAUUAUAAAAGCAGCUAGCAUUUCCUAAGAACCUGCUCUGUCCCUGUGCCAAGAGCUUUGCUAAGCAUUUCCUUUGCUAUUAGCCCAGUUUGACAAGAGUUAACUGAGAGGUGAAGUCACUUGCCCAAGGCACACAGUACAGACAGGACUGGAAUCCAGGUGUGUAAGAGCACAGAGUGUCCUGGGCCCAAGAAAGGACACAUAACCUAGGCUUAGAGACAGGGGGUCUCCCUGGGGGAGAGGAAUUGGGCAGGAUGGAGUCAAGGGCUUCCAGACUGAGGGUUGCCCAGGAGAAGCCAGUAGAGUUGUGGUUGUAACAUCUAUACAAACAGGUCAUUUGCAUACAACACUGAAGUGUUUUAUUCACACAGAUUGCCUCACUCAUUGGAAAGGCUCAAAACAGCCUGGGGGGUAGGGGGAGAGUGUAUUACCUGCCCCUGGCCCAUAAUAGGGACGCAAGAACUACUUGAAGGACCAUUCCACUCCUUAGUGAUUAAGUGAAGAGAUUUGCUAGAGGUCAGCUGGUAAGGACGAGACAAAGCUGGACUUGAACCUGGUUCUAACUCCAAAGUCUGCACUAUGUCUUAGGGCCUGUUCUCAGCCUGGUUUUGCCUUUCUCCAUACCAUCUGAGCACUGUUGGUAAUCUUUGCCUCCCCCAUGGCCGAGGCUCCUGGUUCCGCGUUCUUUCUCCACCCAAACUCAUCCAUCCCAGCUUAUCAGCCAUCAGCUGGUGUCUCACUCCCCGAGGGAGCUCCUCCCUGCCAGAACUGCCCAGAGUGGAAGAGUGCAAGGACGUGAGCAACCUAGGCUUUGGGUGUGAAUUUUGGCUGUUCUGGCUUUGCGAUCUUGAACAAAUAACCUCUGUGAGCUUCAGGCUUCUCGUCUAGGUAAUAAUGGAGGUAGCACACCUCUUCCUCGGGUGUUCAGAUAACACGGGCAAAACUAGCAUAGUGCCUGGCACACAAGAAACAUUCUGUAAAUGUAACUGGAAAUGAGGCAAAAUGAACAGACCUCACAACCAGUCCCCGAAAAGUCUGGAAUGAGCCGCAUUUUCCCUAGCAGACUCUAGUCUGUCUCUGUAAGGAGCUGUGGCUCCCCUCCAUGUCUGUUAUUCACAGAUGUUGACAGCAGUCUGCCGCAGCCCCAAGAGAGCUCGGAAAGAAUCCACUGACCGAGCAAACACAAGCAGAGCAGUAACCCCUACGGGUCAGUGUGGAUAUGGCCGGACAGCAGCAAGGGCGCAGAAAUCCACGAGGAGGAGACAAGCCAAAUGUGGGCAUCAACAUUGGGUGGAAGGUUGAAGCGCUGUGAGCCUCCUUCUCAAAGGUGUACGAAUUGCCAAAUCAGUGGGAUUGGAAGAGGUUCUUCUUUCCAAGCAAGUGUGUGAAAGUUCGCCUGAUCACCUCCGUGCCUUUGCUCAGACGGUCCCCUCUGUCUAGGAUGCCUUCGUCUCUCCUCUCCAACUUGGGAACUCCAUGCCCUGCCUUCAGUCCCCUCACUCUCACAGCCCAUGUGUUCCCACCACUGAACUGAUGCUAAGGUUUCGUUGCCGUGUUCUGUGCCAUUUGCUGAAGGAGGGCACCUGUCACCUCCAUUCCCUGGCAGGGUGUAGCCUGGGAUUUAAGACCUAAUAGAGUCUGUACAGUCCAAUGAAAAUAUGAGAGCCACGUUUUGAUUUUUAAUUUUCUAGUAACGCUUAAUAGUUACUAAUUAAAUGUCACUUAAAAAGAAGCAGGUGAGGGGUGCCUGGGUGGCUCAGUCAUUAAGUGUCUGCCUUCGGCUCAGGGCAUGAUCCUGGCAUUCUGGGAUCAAGCCCCACAUCAGGCUCCUCCACUGGGAGCCUGCU